rnacentral:lncRNA from 15 species
UUUAAUGUGUCCCACAGUGAUGUUGAUCUGUGUGGUAGUGAAUUAGGGGGAAUCCACUAAAUAUUCUGGAAGAAAAUGUGUCCAUCAAACUGAAAGCAAAGCCUCAUACAAAUGAGCACUGACACAUUCCUAAUCAAUACUCUGAUAAAGUGAUUGAUCCAUUGAUAAACAGCAUCAUGAGAGGAAUCCAAGUCCCUGUUGGAGUCAGUCAGAGCAUUUCCAUAGAGAGCCACUUUGCAUCAGCAGCACCAUGCUCCAGUGCUCUGGGAGAGUUUAUAGUCCUGAGAGUUGAACACUGGAUGACUGACAGCUGUCCUUCAUGACAACAGAAGACACAGAAAUCCUCCUCAUCAAAAACAUGACUUUGAUCUCCGUCCUCAUCUGGACUCUCCUCUGCUGCUGCUUCACAGAGUCCAGAGGCCAGGUCACAGUGACUCAGUCUGGAGCAGUGAGCUCUGCUCUGGGAGGCUCCGUCACCAUCACAUGUAGGACCAGUCAGAAUGUUUAUUAGUUCACUAUUUAGCCUGGUACCAACAGAGAGAUGGAGAAACUCCUAAACUGCUCAUUUACUAUGCUAGCACUCGAGCAUCAGGGAUUCCAGGUCGUUUUACAGGCAGUGGAUCAAACUCUGACUUCACUCUGACCAUCAGUGGAGUCCAGACUGAAGAUGCAGCAGUUUACUACUGUCAGAGUUUUCAUGUUAUCAACAGUCAGUAUGUGUUCACACAGUGAAAAAGCGUCGUACAAAAACCUCCCUCAGUCAGACUGAACAGAAACUGAACUGACUGCUGCAGCUGGAAGCUACUGCAGAGACUGAUACACUUCACUGAGGACACACACACACACACACACACACACACACACACACACACACACACACACAUGCUACUGAACUGAUUAAGGGAAUAGACACUUUUCAUGGCAGACAUUUUGACUUGCCAAAGCAGGAAAAGCACAGGUGUAUUUAAUUACAUUAAUGAUGGCUUCAUUACAUUUAUGUGAGCCAGUCUGAGAGCUCUGGUACUGUGCAUGCUCACUCACUGAAAGGCCUUACUGGGACACUGAAUGAAAUUGGGCCAGUAUUAAUGUUAUUAUUACACCUGUGAUUUACCUGCUUUGAUCACUCAAAAUGUCUGCUGUGAAAAGGGUCUAUUUGGAAAGGUGAGUGAGUGGGCAGGGAAGAUCUGAUGGUGCAAAGGGCGGAGUGAGAGUCACUGCAGGACAGGAGAGAGUGGCUGGAUCUGGAAUGACAUGAGAGUAAGUAGAAUCAGAAUCAGAAUCAGAAUUGGGUUUAUUGCCAAGUAAGAUUUUACACAUACAAGAAAUUUGCCUUUGUACAUUGGUGCAUUAAAAAUCACACAAAAAAUAAGUACUUUUUAAAAUAUAAAUAAAUAAAGAUAAGCAUGAAGAUAGAAAGAUCUAGAAGUAACCGAGCAAUGCAACAGAAAUAAUGUUAUAAUCUAACUGAAAGAAUAAACUAGAAUCUUGUUUUAUUUGUUGAAACAUCCUUCUUUCAAAUUGGAUCAGAAUCAGAAUCAGAAUCAGAAAUACUUUAAUAAUAAUGUGGGAAAGGCCACCCAUCCCCUGAAACAGGUUUAACAAACAGAAAACUUCAAUGAGGGAGAAAAUAUUUUAUUAUCCUUUGGAAGACAUGUUUAGGAAUAUUUUGAUCCUAUUCAUUUCACACCAAUAAUUGUAUGUAUGGUAUCAAAUAAGAACAUGCAAAAUGCACCUUGGUAAUAAAGAUUAUUGAGUUCAAUAGGCUUUAAUUAUUUAACAGAAUAAUAUCCACCUUUUUAUAACACCUUAAUCUUAAACAUGAAACAUUUGUACAAUAAGGUCUGCAGUUUUAUCUUUUCUACACUUCAAGCUGUUUGAAUUUCAGUUUGACAGGAAUGUGUAAAGAACAAAGACUUAGCCUCCAUGAUGAAGGAGGACAAGUACAAACAUGAAUACUUCAAGUGUUUAAAUUAAAACAAACUAUAUCUGUCUGCUUCAGACAUUUAAAAACUAAUUUAAAACAUUACUUUACAAUAUUGUAUUUAAUAUUUGUGCAGAAACUUACUUCCAACAUCCAGUCUGGUUCCUCCACCAAAAGUCAACCACAGUGAUACAAACUCAUUGAGCCGCCGUACAAAAACCUCUCACUGUAGAGAGACACGGCUCUCUGACUUUGACACACUGAACUAAACCUACAAACCCUCAAGAUGAAACUUUACCAUUAAAGUUGGAAAUACUGAUUCAUAUUCUGUCUUGAUAUUUUAAAUUCACUUCAAUCAGGUUUUGAAUUUAUAUACCUGAUGCAAAGUUUGUCUCUGAGUGUAAAGUAUUUCUGCAGAAGAUAUACAUUAAUAUGAAAAAUCAAGAAUUCUUCCUAGAAAUAUAUAAUAAAAGACAAAUAUGUCCUGAAAUGAAUAAAAAUAUAAAGAUUUGACUUACUUCCAACAUCCAGUCUGGUUCCUCCACCAAAAGUCCACCACAGUGAUACAAACUCAUUGAGCCGCCGUACAAAAACCUCUCACUGUCUUGACACAAACAAACUCAGCAAACAAAUUCCCAGUUUACCCAGUUUAUCUAAUAACUGGUUAAAGUGUCUAAAACAUAAACUAUGAAUAUGUAUUUAAUCUUUUUUUGUGAAAUAAGCUGUAUUAAUUAAUGUUACAUUAAAACAAUGAAAUAAGAUAUUUAAAAAAAAAACCUCUCCAAUAAAACAUGACAAAAAAUAAACAAUGAAAAUAAACACAUGUUUACUGUAGAGUAUGAAGAAUAUAAAAUAAGUAAAUAUGAAUAAAAAAAUUAUAAUUCUGUCUAAACGUGUCCCACAGUGAUGUUGAGGACUGACACAUUCC